GUUUAUAAAAUGUCUAACUCUCUGCUCCCCCCCUUCCGUCUGCUUUGGUCUCUUCCGGAACCUUUAAAAGGUACUCAGGCCCCCGGGGAAUCUUUUAGCCUGAACACCCUGCAGAGGAAGAGAGAGGACAUAAUCAGUUCCAGCUGAGAUGCCACCGAAACCACCAUUAAUAAACCAUUUCAAUCA